GGUUUUACCUGGAAGGGAAGACAUCUUAAUUAUUAAGGAGGUUUUCCCAGCAUGAGGCUCAUCCAUUGCACUUUGGGUGUGCUGGUCGCUCCAAUUUCCCCAAAUGCAGGAAACUCGGCUACAUAAUUUGUGGUAUUCUCCAGACCAGAGAUAUCUCAACACUGGG